UACAGGGGGGGCAAGCGUUGUUCGGAAUUACUGGGCGUAAAGGGCUCGUAGGUGGCCAACUAAGUCAGACGUGAAAUCCCUCAGCUUAACUGGGGAACUGCGUCUGAUACUGGAUGGCUUGAGUUUGGGAGAGGGAUGCGGAAUUCCAGGUGUAGCGGUGAAAUGCGUAGAUAUCUGGAGGAACACCGGUGGCGAAGGCGGCAUCCUGGACCAUGACUGACGCUGAGGAGCGAAAGCCAGGGGAGCAAACAGG
rnacentral:rRNA from 1 species